rnacentral:precursor_RNA from 1 species
GAACCUUCAGAUUUCAGAUUUGAUUAGGGUUUUAGCGUCUUCGGACCAGGCUUCAUUCCCCCCAAUUGUUGCUCCCUGUUUACUCCAUAUUUCUUCCUUCUUUUCAAAUUAGGGUUUCAGAUCCAGUGAAUGAACCCUUGUUAAAGGUUUGAUCUCUUACCUUACUUUCUCAGAUUCAUUUACAUGCGUUAUUGAUUGUUUGCAUGGAAAGAAAUAGUUUUCUUUUUUAAAUAGGUCUUUGGGGACCGAUAGAAAAAAAAAGUUUUCAGGUAUUUGCAGAUUGGUGUAACGAUGAAAGAAUCUGACUUUCUUUCUCCUCUUGGAAUCUGAAAAGUUUCAUCAAGACAAACUUUUUAUACAUGUGUUUGUAUUUUUGAACUUUUCUACAUUGCUAUGAUUUUGCUAUGAUUGUUUCUUUUUGGAUCUUCAUGGUAUUGAAUGAUGAUGACGAUGAUAGUUUUUAUUCA